GAUCAGAUCGAGCGUUGCAUAUGAUUAAAAUUGGGGAUGAAAUCAUGAAAGAAUGGAGAACCUGAAACAGUUUGAGAGAUACACUCUGUUUGCGUGUGUCUACAUAAUUUUUAUAUAACUAAAAAUAUAAUUAACACCUGAUUUUUGAAUAAAAUUAGUUAAGUCUUGAUUAGUGAUAAUGUAAUCUUAAAUCCAUGUUUCCCUGAAAUUUCCUCUUCUUCUUCUAGAAGAUGAUAGGUGCUGGUCGGGCUUGUUAAUGGUGGUGUUGAGCUAAGAUGUGUUGGGUUGGGCCUGUUGUAUUGGAGGAAUGUGUUUGCGGCUGUUUAGUUAGUGGGCUUCGUUUUGUUGGGUAAAUAUUGGAUGUGGUUAGUGGGCUGGUUAAUUGGGUGUUGCUAAGUGGGCCUGCCUGAAAAUAUGUUUUGAUUUGUAGCGGU
rnacentral:lncRNA from 1 species